rnacentral:piRNA from 1 species
UUGUGCUCAAAUUUGCUCUAUCAAGAGGA